rnacentral:rRNA from 1 species
GACGAACGCUGGCGGCGUGCUUAACACAUGCAAGUCGAACGGAAAGGCCCUGCUUGCAGGGUACUCGAGUGGCGAACGGGUGAGUAACACGUGGGUGAUCUGCCCUGCACUUCGGGAUAAGCCUGGGAAACUGGGUCUAAUACCGGAUAGGAGCCAUUUUUAGUGUGAUGGUCGGAAAGUUUUUUCGGUGUAGGAUGAGCUCGCGGCCUAUCAGCUUGUUGGUGGGGUAAUGGCCUACCAAGGCGGCGACGGGUAGCCGGCCUGAGAGGGUGGACGGCCACAUUGGGACUGAGAUACGGCCCAGACUCCUACGGGAGGCAGCAGUGGGGAAUAUUGCACAAUGGGCGCAAGCCUGAUGCAGCGACGCCGCGUGGGGGAUGACGGCCUUCGGGCUGUAAACUCCUUUCGCUAGGGACGAAGCUUUUUGUGACGGUACCUAGAUAAGAAGCACCGGCUAACUACGUG